rnacentral:rRNA from 1 species
UACGAAGGGGGCUAGCGUUGCUCGGAAUUACUGGGCGUAAAGCGCACGUAGGCGGCUUUCUAAGUCGGGGGUGAAAUCCUGGAGCUCAACUCCAGAACUGCCUUCGAUACUGGAGAGCUCGAGUCCGGGAGAGGUGAGUGGAACUGCGAGUGUAGAGGUGAAAUUCGUAGAUAUUCGCAAGAACACCAGUGGCGAAGGCGGCUCACUGGCCCGGUACUGACGCUGAGGUGCGAAAGCGUGGGGAGCAAAC